rnacentral:rRNA from 1 species
UACGAAGGGGGGCUAGCGUUGCUCGGAAUCACUGGGCGUAAAGGGUGCGUAGGCGGGUCUUUAAGUCAGGGGUGAAAUCCUGGAGCUCAACUCCAGAACUGCCUUUGAUACUGAAGAUCUUGAGUUCGGGAGAGGUGAGUGGAACUGCGAGUGUAGAGGUGAAAUUCGUAGAUAUUCGCGAGAACACCAGUGGCGAAGGCGGCUCACUGGCCCGAUACUGACGCUGAGGCACGAAAGCGUGGGGAGCAAACAGG